AGUGAACGCUGGCGGUAGGCCUAACACAUGCAAGUCGAACGGCAGCACAGUAAGAGCUUGCUCUUACGGGUGGCGAGUGGCGGACGGGUGAGGAAUACAUCGGAAUCUACUUUUUCGUGGGGGAUAACGUAGGGAAACUUACGCUAAUACCGCAUACGACCUACGGGUGAAAGCAGGGGAUCUUCGGACCUUGCGCGAUUGAAUGAGCCGAUGUCGGAUUAGCUAGUUGGCGGGGUAAAGGCCCACCAAGGCGACGAUCCGUAGCUGGUCUGAGAGGAUGAUCAGCCACACUGGAACUGAGACACGGUCCAGACUCCUACGGGAGGCAGCAGUGGGGAAUAUUGGACAAUGGGCGCAAGCCUGAUCCAGCCAUACCGCGUGGGUGAAGAAGGCCUUCGGGUUGUAAAGCCCUUUUGUUGGGAAAGAAAAGCAGCAGGUUAAUACCCCGCUGUUCUGACGGUGCCCAAAGAAUAAGCACCGGCUAACUUCGCG
rnacentral:rRNA from 1 species